AAAAAAAUCAGCUCUGCAGAGGAGACCCACAGGAGGGUGACCUCAUAACUUGCUAUCCCAUCCAUCCUGGAUGCUUUUGAGAGUGGGAAGAGUCAGUAAUGAUCAUGUCAAGACAGCAGGCAUAAAUUGGGUUGUCCCAGACCAGCAGGGGCACAUGGUCACCUUGUCUGUGAGUGAGAAGGCACGGCCAGCCAUGGUAUUCUCAGAUUUGGAAGGAACCCAAGUAGUCAUGGCUAGGAUAGAUUCCAAGCUAGAUUUUGAUAAAUUCUAGGAGAGCUUGUACAAUUUUAACAACCUUGGGUAAGAAAAUAGUUUUCCAUUUCCCAACUCUAUGGAGUUGACAGUGUUAGGCACUUUUAAUAGCAAGAGGAAGAAAACUUCAUAUCAACAGGCUUUACUAACUGGAAAAAUAUAGAUAUGACAUGGGGGUCAGGUAAAGCUUGCUCCAGGGGCUGGAUGAUCAGGACCUGGCCUCCCUCUCGUCCUCUCUUGGUUUCCUUUCCUCAACAGGCACCAUUUUCUGACAAGCAUUCCUAAGCCACAACUUCCAGAUGCAAUACAUUGGGAGAAGACCAGCGUCUCUUCUCCUGGGAUGCUGUCUCACCCAGCUCAGAUCGCAUCCAUCCUGCACCAACCUCUGUGGCUAGGGGGAUUUGGGAAUCUGGCAAGGCUUGGGUCUAGGCUCCACCCUGGAGCUGGUGGAGUGCCGCUGAAGACAUCUCAAAUCUCAUGAACUAAGGGAGCCUGUGGUCCCCCCAAAAUCAAAAGAAGAGGGGAUGGUUCUCUGCCGUUUGUUCUCCCGCCUCCUCUGCUUUGGGCCUGACUCUACAGAAGCCGCUCUUUGCAUCUGUGCCUGGGCCCAGCCCAUCCAGGGCAGGUACCCACCCACCCACACCUGGCUGGUUCCAUUUGUUUAGCCAGGACUUUGAGGUCAGCAGGGUGGUCCACCCCACAGGCCCUGCUGCCACCACGGGGAAGCUCUGACUCCCUCACAGCACAAGUCCAGGCCCUGGAACCACGUUGCUGUCCCUCCCACAGCUGGCCACCUCACCUCUGCCCUCCCUGCUCGACUGCGGCCACACGGAGGCAGGGUCUGUGCCUCCCAUCCACAGCUGCUCCCCAACACCAGCCACGUCAUCACGAGAUGUCGCCGCCCUUCCAUUUAACAAGGAGAACAUACAGGUGGAGAAACGCCCAUGUCCUGCGGGUGUGUUUACAUGUACCCUCCUCCUCUUCUGGAGGGGUCUGGGGGCACUUGGGGCAGCAAGC
rnacentral:lncRNA from 1 species